rnacentral:rRNA from 1 species
AAUGAACGCUGGCGGCAUGCCUAACACAUGCAAGUCGAACGAGACCACCGGGAGUAGUGGCGCAUGGGGGUGUAGCGCGUCGGAAGCUGCCCGUAUGUAUGGAAUAACUCUCCGACAGGGGUGCUAACGCCGGACAAUGUCUUCUAACCAAAGAUAUAUCGCCCUGGGAUGGGCGCGCGUUGGAUUCGCUGGUUGGUAGGGUAAAAGCCUACCACGGCGACGAUCCAUAGCUGGUCUGAGAGACUGGUCAGCCACACUGGGGGGAGGACGCGGCCGGGAAUCCUACGCGAGGGGGCAGUGGGGGAUCUAGGACAACCGGCGGAGGGCUGAACGAGCACUGCCGGGAAAGUGAUGUAGGCCUUAAAGAAGUAAAGCUCUUUUACCCGGGAUGGUACUGACGGUACCGAAAGAAUAAGCUCCGGCUAACUCCGUG